AUGAACGCUGGCGGCGUGCUAAUACAUGCAAGUCGAACGAGGUGCUUGAGUAGCAAUACAAGAGUAUCCUAGCGGCGAACGGGUGAGUAACGCGUGGGUGACCUACCCCAAAGUGUGGGAUAACAGUCCGAAAGGAUUGCUAAUACCGCAUGUGAUCAUUGGAUUUAGAAACUGAUGAUUAAAGGAGCAAUUCGCUUUGGGAGGGACCUGCGUCCCAUCAGCUAGUUGGUGAGGUAAUGGCUUACCAAGGCGACGACGGGUAGGGGACCUGAGAGGGUGGCCCCCCACAAUGGAACUGAAACACGGUCCAUACACCUACGGGUGGCAGCAGUAGGGAAUAUUGCACAAUGGGCGAAAGCCUGAUGCAGCAACGCCGCGUGUGCGAUGAAGGCCUUCGGGCCGUAAAGCACUUUUCUGAGAGAUGAGAAAGGACAGUAUCUCAGGAAUAAGUCUCGGCUAACUACGUGCCAGCAGCCGCGGUAAAACGUAGGAGGCGAGCGUUAUCCGGAUUCACUGGGCGUAAAGCGCGUGCAGGCGGUUCGGUAAGUUGGAUAUGAAAUCUCCUGGCUUAACUAGGAGAGGUUAUUCAAUACUACCGGACUAGAGAGUGGUAGAGGAAGAUGGAAUUCCCGGUGUAGUGGUGAAAUGCGUAGAUAUCGGGAGGAACACCAGUGGCGAAAGCGAUCUUCUGGACCAUUUCUGACGCUCAGACGCGAAAGCUAGGGUAGUAAACGGGAUUAGAGACCCCGGUAAUCCUAGCCGUAAACGAUGUAAACUUGGUGUCGGUGGCUUUAAC
rnacentral:rRNA from 1 species